rnacentral:lncRNA from 1 species
GGGUUGGUAUUCGAUCUACAUCCAACGAUUGUUCUUAGGUUGGAUUUUUUUUCUUGAAUUUAUGUUAGGGUUUUUGGAAUUUCAUAGUGAUCUGAUCUAUUAUUUGAAAUUUUUUUUGUUCGGCUGGUUUAAAUUAGAGGUUUUAGUCCUUUUUAGUAGUCAUUUCUUUUUUUCUUCUUGAUUUUGCUCUGAUUUAUGGGUUCAAUGGCAUUAACCUAUUGAUGUUC